CGGGGCGUGGCGCAGUCUGGUAGCGCACCUGGUUUGGGACCAGGGGGUCGCAGGUUCGAAUCCUGCUGCCCCGACCA
rnacentral:tRNA from 1 species